UACGUAGGGGGCAAGCGUUAUCCGGAAUUACUGGGUGUAAAGGGAGCGUAGACGGUAAUGUAAGUCUGGAGUGAAAGGCGGGGGCCCAACCCCCGGACUGCUCUGGGAACUAUGUUACUAGAGUGCAGGAGAGGUAAGCGGAAUUCCUAGUGUAGCGGUGAAAUGCGUAGAUAUUAGGAGGAACACCAGUGGCGAAGGCGGCUUACUGGACUGUAACUGACGUUGAGGCUCGAAAGCGUGGGGAGCAAACAGG
rnacentral:rRNA from 1 species